rnacentral:rRNA from 1 species
UACGUAGGGUGCGAGCGUUGUCCGGAAUUAUUGGGCGUAAAGGGCUCGUAGGCGGUUUGUCGCGUCGGGAGUGAAAAUCCAGGGCUUAACUCUGGACUGGCUUCCGAUACGGGCAGACUAGAGGUAUGCAGGGGAGAACGGAAUUCCUGGUGUAGCGGUGAAAUGCGCAGAUAUCAGGAGGAACACCGGUGGCGAAGGCGGUUCUCUGGGCCGUAACUGACGCUGAGGAGCGAAAGCGUGGGGAGCAAACAGG